rnacentral:rRNA from 1 species
GCUCAAAUUUGAAAUCUGGCACCUUCGGUGUCCGAGUUGUAAUUUGAAGAAGGUAUCUUUGGUUUUGGCUCUUGUCUAUGUUCCUUGGAACAGGACGUCACAGAGGGUGAGAAUCCCGUGCGAUGAGAUGCCCAAUUCCAUGUAAAGUUCCUUCGACGAGUCGAGUUGUUUGGGAAUGCAGCUCUAAGUGGGUGGUAAAUUCCAUCUAAAGCUAAAUAUUGGCGAGAGACCGAUAGCGAACAAGUACUGUGAAGGAAAGAUGAAAAGAACUUUGAAAAGAGAGUGAAAAAGUACGUGAAAUUGUUGAAAGGGAAGGGCUUGAGAUCAGACUUGGAAUUUUCCAGUAAUGGAGCUUUCCGGGCCAGCAUCAGUUUGGAUAGCAGGAUAAUUGCGUAGAAAAGUAGCUCUCCUUCCGUGGAA